rnacentral:tRNA from 1 species
CGCCUGAUGCCGCUGGGCGAUGAUGUCGCCUUCAUCCCCGGCCACGGCCCAGGCUCCACCCUGGGCGAGGAGAGGG